rnacentral:rRNA from 1 species
UCCCUACGGGGCGCAGCAGUGGGGAAUAUUGCACAAUGGGCGCAAGCCUGAUGCAGCGACGCCGCGUGCGGGAUGGAGGCCUUCGGGUUGUAAACCGCUUUUGUUCAAGGGCAAGGCACGGUCUUUGGCCGUGUUGAGUGGAUUGUUCGAAUAAGCACCGGCUAACUACGUGCCAGCAGUCGCGGUAAUACGUAGGGAGCAAGCGUGAUCCGGAUUUAUUGGGCGUAAAGGGCUCGGAGGCGGUUCGUCGCGGCCGGUGUGAAAGUCAAUCGCUUGACGGAGGGUACGCGCCGGGUACGGGCGGG